AUGACCUUGCAUCCGCAGCCUGGUGAGUCAGCUGGCAGCAGGAUCACUGACUCUGGAAUGUGGCAGAGGGGAAGGAAAGCAAAAAUAUCUCGGCACAGAAAGAUGUUCCAGAUGAAUGAAGCAUAUCAAGGUGUCCUUUGUAGAAAAAAUUCCUGCAGCAACUCAGUAAACUCGCCAUCACUUUGUGGAAGCAGAGAAAGGACCCAAAAAUAAACAUGAAUGAUAUACACUUUAACAUCUCUCUGUGUUGGAGAAGCAGGAUAAAGGAGGGGUUUGUUGUACUUUCUGUUUGUGGACCUGUGCUGUCUUUGAACCCCAAUUCCAGCUAUCGACAAUCUGCAACUGAGAAUCUUUAUACCAAAUAUCUAUAUUGAGGAAGAGACUCCUAAAAAGAUAAUAAAGUAAUUCAAACUGGGUCUAAACUCCACUUUUUUUGGUGUUUUGGUUUGGUUUUUUUUCCCCAGAACUUAGAGAUAACAUAAAUGCCUGACCUUUGUUUUCAUUCUGAUAUAGUUUUAAGGCAAUUUGUGGAAGGGAGAGAGAGGAGGGAAGAAUAAAAGGGAAUUUUUCUUUUUUCCAUGAGACACAUCUUGGAGAAAGAUGAAUUAAUUUAGGAAACAACAGAUGGAUAGGUCUUCCAAAUGUCUCGGGGUUUUUUGAGUUUGUGAGGGAAAACAUGUUUUAUUGUUGUCUUUGAUACCUACUACUUUCUCCUAGUAGAGUCCCAGGACUUCUGAGACUUAUUUUCCAUAGGAGCCACAACAGUUGGAUUCAAUGGGAGUCUGACACUGGUCUUGCACCUCCGGAUGACAAAAGUCAGUUUUGCUGAGAAACCUCAAUCUGGUGAUUCUAAAGCAAAAAAUUAAAAUCUUCACUAAAGAACUUGAAUACAAGCACUGAGGUGAUCUUACAAUAAUCACUUCUAUUUUCAUCAAAGGCUUUCGGGUCUAGCCAGGGAUUAAAUCCUACAUAGUAAUACAUACCUUGGGAAAACAUGCCCAGAAAAUUCUGGACUAAGUGAAGUGAAACACUACAUAUUCAUCCUGCUUUUCAAGGAGCUUGGCCAAGGCUUCCUUUUUUCCAGUGGUAAUUUUCUUGGAUGCAAAGAAGAGCAGCAGAUGCCUACAAAACUUUUACCAUGCAGUGCUUUGUCAGUGUACUGCAGAGGGCAGCAUGGUAAUAUUGCUGAAAUUGUCUGUCAAGUCCUACAAGAUUCCUCUGAUUUUUCACAUUAAAAAUAAGCCUUAAAUUAUUUACUAAUAAUUUUACACAGAGAAGUCAUCAAAUACAUGAAAAUAACAUCUGAAAAACUGCUGUUUGGACUUCUUAGGUAACUAUAUAAAGUGAGUUAUAAGGAGAU
rnacentral:lncRNA from 1 species